GCUCAAAUUUGAAAUCUGGCGCCUUCGGUGUCCGAGUUGUAAUUUGAAGAUUGUAACCUUGGGGUUGGCUCUUGUCUAUGUUUCUUGGAACAGGACGUCACAGAGGGUGAGAAUCCCGUGCGAUGAGAUGCCCAAUUCUAUGUAAGGUGCUUUCGAAGAGUCGAGUUGUUUGGGAAUGCAGCUCUAAGUGGGUGGUAAAUUCCAUCUAAAGCUAAAUAUUGGCGAGAGACCGAUAGCGAACAAGUACAGUGAUGGAAAGAUGAAAAGAACUUUGAAAAGAGAGUGAAAAAGUACGUGAAAUUGUUGAAAGGGAAGGGUUUGAGAUCAGACUCGAUAUUUUGUGAGCCUUGCCUUCGUGGCGGGGUGACCCGCAGCUUAUCGGGCCAGCAUCGGUUUGGGCGGUAGGAUAAUGGCGUAGGAAUGUGACUUUACUUCGGUGAAGUGUUAUAGCCUGCGUUGAUGCUGCCUGCCUAGACCGAGGACUGCGAUUUUAUCAAGGAUGCUGGCAUAAUGAUCCCAAACCGCCCGUCUUGAA
rnacentral:rRNA from 1 species